UAGGAGGAUAAUCAGCAGGAGCGCUCGGCCUCGACCCCAGCCCCCCACCAUAGCUAGAUUGCCGCUCAAUGAAUGGUCGAGGAGGAGGUGGUGGUGGCUGAGAGUAGUACCCAGGGUAGUAACUGGAGUACGGAUCAGAGUAGCCGCCGUAAGGAUACAAAUGCGCCGGAGGAGGCGGUGGAGAUGGAGAAGCAGGUGGCGGUGGUGCCACUACAGGCAGCGGAGGAGGAGGAGGGUGUGAGGAGUACGGAGAAGGAGAAUAUGAUCUAUAGGAAGGCGGCGGCGGAGGGGCAGUAGAGUAAUAAUAGCUAGAUGGAGGGGGUAUCUGGUAAUCCUGGGGAGUUGGAGAUUCACGAAUAGCAAUCUUCAGUCGGAUCUUACCGUGAGGACGACCCGAGGGUCGUCGGAGCUCAAAAGGUCUGAUUUUGUUCGGAUCAUCCAAGUUAACAAGGUCCUUCAACGGAAUCCUAAGUGUACCGACUAAAGGUUUGGGAGUUUCUGAGGGUUUGGAAUGGAAUACCUCGAGAGUGAGGACAGUAUCGUGAGGAGAUUGAGGAAGAUGGAGGACGAACCGCUCGUUCCAAACGGGUCGAGUAUUGCCGGAAUCAUCGGCUUGAGUGGCUCGCCGGUUGUCCGGGUCAACCCAAAAGAUGACAUAGGGCUUGAGAUCGCCGUGAUGCCAAUUGACAUUUU
rnacentral:lncRNA from 1 species